rnacentral:rRNA from 1 species
GGCGGCGCGCCUAAUACAUGCAAGUCGGGCGAGAAGGCGUAGCAAUACGCUUGUAAAGCGGCGAACGGGUGAGGAAUACAUGGGUAACCUACCCUCGAGUGGGGAAUAACUAGCCGAAAGGUUAGCUAAUACCGCAUACGAUUCCCGCACUGCGGUGCGGGAAGGAAAGCACGGCCGUGGGUCGUGCGCUCCUGGAUGGGCUCAUGUCCUAUCAGCUUGUUGGUGAGGUAACGGCUCACCAAGGCUUCGACGGGUAGCUGGUCUGAGAGGACGAUCAGCCACACUGGCACUGCGACACGGGCCAGACUCCUACGGGAGGCAGCAGUAAGGAAUAUUGCGCAAUGGGCGAAAGCCUGACGCAGCGACGCCGCGUGGGGGAUGAAGGUCUUCGGAUUGUAAACCCCUUUCGGGAGGGAAGAGGGAACGAGCAAUCGUCGGCGGUACC